UCCAAUGUGGUGUAGUGGUCAACAUUGCUGUCUUUCAUUAUGGUUCUUUGCACAGCAGCCCGGGGUUCGAUUCCCCGCAUUGGAA